GCUGUCUGGACUACUCAGUUAUUCCUAGACAGUCUCUUAUUCUGUAGGUCAACUCUGUUGUUUUUAGAUAGUCCCUUAUUCUGUAAAAGAACUGUUUUCGUUUGAAUAAUAGAAAAAGAUAAAAACUUAACUGACCUUGCAAGCUAGCCAUCUGAUGUAACAGGCUAAUACUGAUACUGAUAAUAAUUCCCAUAUUCUUCUGCCAAGUAUUGGUUCAUUAUGUAUUCAAGGUUAUAAACUAUCUGUAACAAUAACCUCCACAGAGCUCUUUGUAAAAUCUGCAAAGGGCCCAAAAAGGUAUAAAUAGAGAGAACUUCCUCUAUUUGUUUGCUCAGAGAUUUGGGAAACACCUCCCUCUGAGCCACGCGAAAAAGACUCCUAAUUAAUUGGCUCAUUAAGGCAUCUCAUAUCUAUCUCACUGAUUUACGAUA